ensembl:ncRNA lncRNA:CR45157 long non-coding RNA:CR45157
ACAAAAACAACAAUAACAACACCGUGCACUACAAUGAUUUUCUAUGCUCUGCUUUGUAUUUGCCCGCGAGGAAAAGAGAAAAGAGACGAGACAAGCAAGGCUUGAAAGAACUUAGAGAUGACAGCGUGAUAAAUAACACCACAUACCACGAAAUAAGAUUUAUAGACGGUUCUCUGUAAACGCAAAUUUACAUCGUGACACGAGAUCAGCAAGAUUUAGCCCCUUCUCUAUAAAGAACCGAUGGCAAAGAGACACAACAACAACAGCAACAAACGGCAAAAAGAGACAAAGCGACGGGCAAAACUGUCAAGAGCAGCGGCUCCGUUCGUGGAUCAGGUGCCGUUAUAACGAGGUUAACGACCCACAUCGCCAUCUCCCUCUCAUGCCAUCUCUCUAUCUCUUUCUCUGUCUCACUCGCUUGGCAU